CCUGGGUCCGCAAACCUCUCACUCGGUCCCACAGGGAGAAGCGGGAAGCGCCGUCUGUUACUGAGGGACCGGCAGGAACCGCACAGGAUCCACACAGAACUACUGUAAAUAAAGAAAUGUCAGUAACACUACAAGAAAUUAUCAGCCUUUUAGCCCAUUUAAUUCAGACAGUCCCACAAUGCUGUAUAAAGCUUCACAAGACAAUGGAGGUUUCACUUUGCCUUGUUUUUAUAAUGAAGUUGUCAAGCUGAAUAGCUAGAAUAAACCCCAUAACUGUUGGCACAGUGAUUAAUGAAACAGAAUCUGGUGAAUAAUCACCUGUGUUACAAACUAUGGAACCCUAUUGGAAAAGAGACAGACGUACUAAUGAUAACAGCACACAAGGCAUUAAAGGGAUUCCUGGAGGAAACAACCUACCUGUCUCAUACAUUCCUGUAAUCAGUACAAUCAGCUUGUAUUGUGUUGGACUGGAUCAUCCAAAUUCUUGCGGGUAAAUAAUCAUUCAAAGGAGCCAUCAAACAUUACCAACGGAUUUUAAACUCAUUAUUUAGAAUAACUACAUUAUUUAGCACAGCUUUCCAUAGUUAUUAUUUGAAAGUUCUGUUCUUGAUGGCAGAGACGUAUGAAAGAUUCUGCUGAAGUAGUUUAAAGUGAUACUGACAUGAAAAAACUACUCUUUAAAAUAUUAAUGUACAUAAAAAGUUACCGAUAGGUUUGCUUUUGUAUUUGUACAAAGCUGCAACAAUUCUGAAUUCAAAUAUACUUAAUCUAAAACUUGUCAAGAUCAUGUAGAAUUCAAUCAGGGUCGGACUGGGGGGUGC